rnacentral:rRNA from 1 species
GGAUGAAGGGAGCUUGCUCCUGGAUUCAGCGGCGGACGGGUGAGUAAUGCCUAGGAAUCUGCCUGGUAGUGGGGGAUAACGUCCGGAAACGGGCGCUAAUACCGCAUACGUCCUGAGGGAGAAAGUGGGGGAUCUUCGGACCUCACGCUAUCAGAUGAGCCUAGGUCGGAUUAGCUAGUUGGUGGGGUAAAGGCCUACCAAGGCGACGAUCCGUAACUGGUCUGAGAGGAUGAUCAGUCACACUGGAACUGAGACACGGUCCAGACUCCUACGGGAGGCAGCAGUGGGGAAUAUUGGACAAUGGGCGAAAGCCUGAUCCAGCCAUGCCGCGUGUGUGAAGAAGGUCUUCGGAUUGUAAAGCACUUUAAGUUGGGAGGAAGGGCAGUAAGUUAAUACCUUGCUGUUUUGACGUUACCAACAGAAUAAGCACCGGCUAACUUCGUGCCAGCAGCCGCGGUAAUACGAAGGGUGCAAGCGUUAAUCGGAAUUACUGGGCGUAAAGCGCGCGUAGGUGGUUCAGCAAGUUGGAUGUGAAAUCCCCGGGCUCAACCUGGGAACUGCAUCCAAAACUACUGAGCUAGAGUACGGUAGAGGGUGGUGGAAUUUCCUGUGUAGCGGUGAAAUGCGUAGAUAUAGGAAGGAACACCAGUGGCGAAGGCGACCACCUGGACUGAUACUGACACUGAGGUGCGAAAGCGUGGGGAGCAAACAGGAUUAGAUAUCCUGGUAGUCCACGCCGUAAACGAUGUCG